GGUUUAGAUUGGAUAUUAGGAAAAACUUUUUCACUAAGAGGGUGGUGAAACACUGGAAUGCGUUACCUAGGGAGGUGGUAGAAUCUCCUUCCUUAGAGGUUUCUAAGGUCAGGCUUGACAAAGCCCUGGCUGGGAUGAUUUAACUGGGAAUUGGUCCUGCUUCGAGCAGGGGGUUGGACUAGAUGACCUUCAGGGGUCCCUUCCAACCCUGAUAUUCUAUGAUUCCAUUCCUACAUGCCUGAGCAAUAUUUAUAUACUCAUCCCUGGUCAUUUGUCCAAUCUUCCACUUCUUGUAAGCCUCUUUUUUGUAUUUAAGAGCAGCAAGGAUUUCACUGUUAAGCCAAGCUGGUCGCCUGCCAUAUUUACUAUUCUUUCUACACAUCGGGAUGGUUUGUCCCCGUAACCUCAAUAAGGAUUCUUUACAAUACAGCCAGCUCUCCUGGACUCCUUUCCCCCUCAUGUUAUUCUCCCAGGGGAUCUUGCCCAUCAGUUCCAUGAGGGAGUCAAAGUCUGCUUUUCUGAAGUCCAGGGUCCAUAUUCUGCUGCUUUCCUUUCUUCCUUGUUUCAGGAUCCUGAACUUGACCAUUUCAUGGUCACUGCCUCCCAGGUUCCCACCCACUUUUGCUUCCCCUACUAAUUCUUCCCAGUUUGUGAGCAGCAGGUCAAGAAGAGCUCUGCCCCUAGUUGGUUCCUCCAGCACUUGCAUCAGGAAAUUGAGUCCCUUCCCUCCAAGGCCCCCGAUGGAGCCCCUCCUGCCCCGUUACCAUCUGGAGCCCCUGUGAGCCCCAAGGUGUCCGCCUUCCUCAGCACCUUGGAUCCUCAUAAGUGCCUGAUCCUGGGCAGGGACUUUAAUACUACCCUCGAGGAGUGGGACUGCUCUGGGACCAAGCAGUGCCCAGCUGCCGUGGAUGUCUUCCAGGAGAUAGUCGACCAUCACUCCCUGGCGGACGUCUGGCGUGACCACCACCUGGAUGACGUCUCGACGUUCACCUUUGUCCGGGUGGAGGCCCAUCGGUCGUGACACUCCUGGUUGGACCGCAUCUACUUAUCAUGUUUCCACCUUUCACGGGCCCACUCCUCCAGCAUCCGGUCGGCCCCUUUCUCCGAUCAUCAUUUAGCCACUGUGACAGCCUCUCUCUGUGCAGAGAGGCCAGGGCUGGCCUAUUGGCAUUUUAACAACAGCUUGUUGGAGGAUGUGGGCUUCGUGGCGUCCUUCUGGGAGUUCUGGCUGGCCUGGCAAGAGCAGCAGUGUGCCUCUUCCUUGGCACGGCUGUGGUGGGACCUGGGGAAGGUGCGAGUCUGGCUCUUCUGCUGUGACUACACCCGGGGCGCCAGCCGAUGGAGGGAUGCAGCAAUAGGGCAGCUGGAACAGGAGGUCUUAGAGCUAGAGAGGCUUCUGGUCACCAGCCCCGAGGUUCCAUCCCUCUGUGGGGCAUGCCAGGAGAAGCGGGAGGAGCUCUGGGCCCUCGAGGACCAUCAGGCCUAAGGUGCCUUUGUUCGAUCCCGCAUCCGCCUCCUUCGGGAGAUGGAUCGCGGCUCCCGUUUCUUCUACGCCCUGAAGAAAACGAGGGGGGGGCCAAGGAACAUGUCACCUGCCUUCUAGCAGAAGACGGCACCCCCCCUCACAGAUCCGGUGGAGAUGUGUGGGAGUGCCCAUGACUUCUACGCAGGCCUCUUCUCCCCGGAUCUGACCAAUCCUAACGCUUGCAGAGUGCUCUGGGACGAACUUCUGAUAGUCAGUGCGGGCGACCAAGACCAGCUAGAGCUGCCUCUCACUCUGGUAGAGGUCUCUGAAGCCGUCCGCCGCACGCCCACCGAUAAAUCUCCAGGCAUGGACAGGCUGACCGUGGAGUUCUACCGCGUGUUCUGGGACGUCCUCGGCCCAGACCCAGUCACAGCCUCCGCGAUUUACAAAAUUGGCAUCCCGUCUCACUCCUCUGCAUGGACUACAAGGUCAUAGUGAAAGCCAUCUCGCUGCGGCUGGGGUCCGUGCUGGCGGAUGUGAUCCACCCAGACCAGACCUACACCGUCCCGGACUGCACCAUCUUCGACAACCUGUAUCUGGUCCAGGAUCUCUUGGAACUCAUUGCCUCCUGGUGCCUGCCUUACCUCAUGUGGAGACCUACGUGUAGGCGUUGGUGAGGGUGGUGGGGCCCACAGCCAUUGUAGCAGCCUCCAAGAUGUAUGGAAAGGUCGUGUUCUUCCUAGCAUUGGAGGCUGCCGCCUAGGAGGCAGUGGAGAAGGGCCUGGUGGUGGGGGCCAUGUUCAUCCCCCUGGACCUGCUGGAGGACCUGGGUGUCUGAGUAGUCCUGACCUCCGUCCCUCCCUUCCUUCCUAAUGCUGUCCUGUUACCCAUCCUCUCUACUCUGGGGAAACCCAUAUCCAUGAUUAGCCCUCUCCCACUGGGCUGCAAAGACUCUGCCCUCUGUCAUGUCCUCUCGUUCCACUGGCAGGUGCAGCUUCAACUGCAGCUGGCAGUGCCUCACGGGGACCCGCUACUGGGUAGAUUAUUCCAUGGGGGAGGCCCGGUGCUACCUCUACUGAACAAUGGGACACAUCCGGAGGGACUGCCCCUUGGCCUGGCACGGAGGAGCAGCCGGGACCCCAGAGCCCCAGCAGGGCACCAUCCCUGUCAUUGCCUGGUGCCACCCCUCCUCCUUUCCAGCCCACCACUGCUCCCGCUCAGGCCCAAGGGGUACCUCCCCCAGUAAGCCCAGACAAGCAGGAGAGCCCUGCCUCCACUGCCUGCAAUCUGGUAGGGAGGAGGGUGUGGUGGGGAUACCCCUGGAUAUGAGAGGGCCCACCCCAGGGGCAAUCUUCCCUCCCUCAUACUGCCCACCAUUACCUCCCCAAGUCCCUGAUCGAUCGCCCCUACCCCUAGACCCAAUCCCUGUUAGCUAGUCCCCAGAUGAUGCCAUGGAGGGCUGGGCCCUAGUUCAGGGGAAGCGGGGCAAGUGGAAGGCUUGAGCUCUGCUCCUUCCAUCUGAUUCAGAGGCCCUCCGGAAGACCAGGAAGCAGGGCACCGCUGCCGAGCCUUCCACCUUAACCACAGGUGUGUUCCAUCCACUGGUGCUGGCUGGGGAAGACGUGGCAGCACUGGAGAGAAGUGCCCCCCCCCUGCACUGGAGUCCCUUCCCACAGAGGCCCCCGAUGGAGCCCCUCCUGCCCCCUUAACAUCUGAACCUCCUGCGAGCCCUGAGGCGACCUUCACUUCAGGUGCUGUUGGGGAGAGCCCCGAAGUGGUGGAAGGUGAUCUCCCUUCUAUCUACAAGGAGAUCGAGACCCUGGUCACCCAGGGGGAGUUUGACCCUCUGCCAACAGGCCUCAGUCUGGGCAACCUCACCCCAGCCCCCCUGUCCCCAUGCUCCCACCCCCUAACUGCUGCUUCCGCUCCCUCCUCCGAGGGUCCCCCCAGAUUGUUCCAUCUGCCUGGCCACAGGCAGUACCCUGCUGCCGAGCCUACUGAGGCGACAGCCAGUGCCCCGCGGCCGGGACCCAAGUCACCGGGGCAUCCCUCGUUGGUGCGGGGCAACCGACCUCCUUCUCUGGCAGGGGCCCUGUCAUAAAUAUAAAGGGAAGGGUAAACACCUUUCUGUAUACAGUGCUAUAAAAUUCCUCCUGGCCAGAGGCAACAUCCUGUUACCUGUCAAGGAUUAAGAAGCUCAGCUAACCUGGCUGGCACCUGACCCAAAGGACCAAUAAGGGGACAAGAUACUUUCAAAUCUUGGGGGGUGGGGGGAGAGAGGGACUUUUGUUUGUGCUCUUUGUUUACAUGGUGGUUCUCUCUUGGGACUGAGAGAGGCCAGACAGAAAUCCAUCUUCUCCAACGCAUCGUAAUCCAAGUCUCCAAUAUUGCAACCAGUAUAGGUAAGCCAGGCAAGGCAGAUUAGUUUUUUUGUUUUAUGUGAAUUUUCCCUGUUAAGAGGGAGGUUUAUUCCUGUUUUCUGUAACUUUAAGGUUUUGCCUAGAGGGAGAUCCUCUAUCUUUUGAAUCUGAAUACCCUGUAAAGUAUUUUCUAUCCUGAUUUUACAGAGGUGAUUCUUUUACCUUUUAUUUAAUUAAAAUUCUUCUUUUAACAA